rnacentral:lncRNA from 1 species
GACAUGAUUCUUAACCAAUGACUAGAAAGGUGCAGAAGAAAGCUAUAAGGGUGUCUGGCAAAAGAGUGUUCCAGAUCUAGGAAAACAUCUGUGAAGGUCCUCAGUUGGAAAUACGCCUAAAAUACUCAAGUAAUAGUAAGGAAGUUUGAUACCUGGGAAGAGAGCGGUAGUUUGAGUAGAAUGGGAUAAGAUGGUCUGACAUAAAACUGAAAGAACUGAAGUUUUACUGAAUCAAAUAGGAAGCCACUUGAAGACUGAGAACUGUCUCCUGGAUUGCAGUGUGGUGGUCACUGAUAACCUCAAGAAGAGUGACUUUGUUUUCGUGAUGGCAAAAUAUUUUGCUGAGUCAAAUGGAAACCAGAGGAUUAUUGUGAUCUGAUUUAGAUCAAAAAGAAAAAACAGACCCUGAUUAUUCUGUGUUAUUUUUUGUUUUCUUUUUGUUACUGGGGAUUGAACCCAGGGAUGCUUAACCACUGAGCCACAUCCCCAUCUUUUUUAUUUUGAGACAGGGUCUUGCUAAGUUGUUUAGGCUGGCUUUGAACUUGUAAUCCUCCUGCCUCAGCCUCCGGAGUCACUGGGAUUAUAGGUGUGUGCCAUUGUGUCCAACUCUCUGCUCUUGUCUUGACAACAGAUUGUAGGUUUGGUGAAGUAAGGGCAGAAGCAGAGAGAUAAGUGAGAAGCCUAUUACAAUAGUCUAGGUGAGCAAUGAUGUGGCUUGCACUGGGGAAGAGGUAGUAGAGAUGAUGAGGAGUGGUCAAAGGCAUUUCUUGAUAUAUACAGAGGAUACAUGACAAAGAGAAAUGAUUCCAAAGUCUCUGGCAUGAACAAGUAAAAAUAAAGAUACAGUUGCCAUUUACUGAUAUAGGAUGAGAGGAAGGAACAGGUUUUGAAGGGAAAGUCAGGAAGAAUUAGUUUUAGGCAUAUCAAGUGUGAAUGCCAAGCAGAGAUAGUGAACUGG